rnacentral:rRNA from 1 species
GAUGAACGCUGGCGGCGUGCCUAAUACAUGCAAGUCGAGCGAACGGACGAGAAGCUUGCUUCUCUGAUGUUAGCGGCGGACGGGUGAGUAACACGUGGAUAACCUACCUAUAAGACUGGGAUAACUUCGGGAAACCGGAGCUAAUACCGGAUAAUAUUUUGAACCGCAUGGUUCAAAAGUGAAAGACGGUCUUGCUGUCACUUAUAGAUGGAUCCGCGCUGCAUUAGCUAGUUGGUAAGGUAACGGCUUACCAAGGCAGCGAUGCAUAGCCGACCUGAGAGGGUGAUCGGCCACACUGGAACUGAGACACGGUCCAGACUCCUACGGGAGGCAGCAGUAGGGAAUCUUCCGCAAUGGGCGAAAGCCUGACGGAGCAACGCCGCGUGAGUGAUGAAGGUCUUCGGAUCGUAAAACUCUGUUAUUAGGGAAGAACAUAUGUGUAAGUAACUGUGCACAUCUUGACGGUACCUAAUCAGAAAGCCACGGCUAACUACGUG